rnacentral:lncRNA from 1 species
AAUCAUUUACAUCUAGCUCAACUACCUUUAGUAUAAAUAAUGUUAACCUACUGACUUCUAAUAUAGCUAUCACAGCUUCACAGGAACAAGUCGAAUGGAGAUUCUCAUUGCCAAGAAUAAGUUUCUAACCUCACCAUCUGUAAUCCAUUCUGGAACACUAGCCAAAUUUCUUCAUAACAUCACCCACAGGCAGGAAUGAUGCCUAACACUUGUUAAGUGUUAAGCUUGUUAAGUUUAAUAACUUAUGAGAUUUCACAGUAUUUUUUAUAUUUCACAUUAUUUUAUGUAUUCAUAUUAUUUCAUUUAGUCACAUUUCAUAUUGUUUUAUUUUACCUUCACAACACACCUUAAAGCAGGUUGUAUUAUCCCCACUUUACGGAUGAGGCACACUUUAGGCUGUCAGCUUGGCUGUACAUGUCUUGAGAAUGGUCACUAUUUUCUCCCCUCUAGUGUGGGACACUAGAUUUAUUGAAUAAAUGCCUGGAUGGCCUGAGGCUACUUUACUAUGUAAAGGAGAUGAGCAGAUUGGUUGGAUGGUUGGUACUUCUUAUCUUUACUUGAUUUGGCUAUAACUUAAUCCCAACAUCAGCCUCAAGACAAAUUGCCUGCAAAAUACUAGCUGAUUUGGUUAUACUAUUUAUCCUUUUUGUGCAUAUAUAUGUAUAAAGAUAUGUCAAUUUAUUGCUAAUUUAAACCUUUUCUCCACCCGCGUGUACUAUGCAUCUUUCAAAGUCUGAGCUAGGAGGCUUGAUAAGAAAGGGCAAGCCUUGACAGGGCUUCUGGGGUGUGAUUCACUUGAUAAACUUGCAGACCCUGGUGCAGGGCUUGGAGGUGAAAGUGGGAAAGAUAAAGCAGAAAAUGCAGAAUAGUUAGGUAGUGAGGGAGGAGACCUCCCUCUUCAGGGCUGACUGCGCUGACCUUUGGGAGCACUCUCUUUUUUGACUUCCUUCCAGUUGCGUGUGUGUAUGCGUGCAUGGGGAAGUGUAGAGGACAUCUUCUUAAUCUCUACCUUGUGCUCAGAUGAUACAAGCUAGUAAUUCAGGGGC